GGCCGGUUAGCUCAGUGGUUUGAGCACGGUGCUGACAAUGACAACACCAAGGUCGCGGGUUCGAUUCCUGCUCGGUCC
rnacentral:tRNA from 1 species